UGGUUCUGGCAUCGAUGAAGAACGCAGCGAAAUGCGAUAAGUAAUGCGAAUUGCAGAAUUCCGUGAGUCAUCGAAUCUUUGAACGCACAUUGCGCCCUGUGGUAUUCCACAGGGCAUGCCUGUUCGAGCGUCAUUAUCACCAGUCAAGCCAGGCUUGCGGUUGGGUGCGAUCGUUGAAGAUCCCCCCUAAAGUUAACGACCGUGUGGCAGCUGUCCUUAUCGUGCGACGAAUCCGCGCUUUAACGGUGGCUCCUCACCGGGUCUUCUAUUAUCCCUCUGAAUUGACCUCGGAUCAGGUAGGAUUACCCGCUGA
rnacentral:misc_RNA from 1 species